GCUUGUCUCAAAGAUUAAGCCAUGCAUGUCUAAGUAUAAACAAAUCUAUACUGUGAAACUGCGAAUGGCUCAUUAUAUCAGUUAUAGUUUAUUUGAUGGUUCUUGCUACUUGGAUAACCGUAGUAAUUCUAGAGCUAAUACAUGCAUCAAACCCCGACUCACGAAGGGGUGUAUUUAUUAGAUGGAAACCAAUGCGGGGCAACCCGGUAUAUGGUGAUUCAUAAUAACUUUCGGAUCGAUCUUCGGAUCGAUGCAUCAUUCAAGUUUCUGCCCUAUCAGCUUUCGAUGGUAGGGUAUUGGCCUACCAUGGCGUUAACGGGUAACGGAGAAUUAGGGUUCGAUUCCGGAGAGGGCGCCUGAGAAAUGGCGACCACAUCCAAGGAAGGCAGCAGG
rnacentral:rRNA from 1 species